UACGAGGGGGGCGAGCGUUGUUCGGAAUUAUUGGGCGUAAAGGGUGCGUAGGCGGUUUGGUAAGUCUCUUGUGAAAUCCCCCGGCUUAACCUGGGAACUGCGUCUGAUACUGGAAGGCUUGAGUAUGGGAGAGGGAUGCGGAAUUCCAGGUGUAGCGGUGAAAUGCGUAGAUAUCUGGAGGAACACCGGUGGCGAAGGCGGCAUCCUGGACCAACACUGACGCUGAGGAGCGAAAGCCAGGGGAGCAAACGGG
rnacentral:rRNA from 1 species